CACUUUACCGGGUCAACGGUGGUUUCUGUGGUUUUCUUGUUAUCUUCCAUUUGAUGCCGGCGAAAGGCCAGCUGGGGGGGGGAUCAGUAAAUUGUGCCUCCAGUCAGAGGGGUCUUGUUUGUGGGGCAGGCGUUGCCCCCCCUGGCAGCCCAUUAGGAUUAGACCGUCCCUCCCCUGUCAGCGUUUCUCCAUCAGCUGAACUUUCAUUUUUUCUCCCCCCCUUCUCUUUGGGUUUAUUUUUUUCAGAGCAGUUAGGCCAGAGGGAAGCCGUGCUUUUGUAGCGAACACAGGAGCCCUGGUGUCCUGCCGUGCGGUCUCCCUCCCUCACACCUCUUCAAUCUUUCACUCCUGACAAAACCCAGCGAGCGCCUCGCUGCCCUUCACUCUCCUCGGCCCUUUUGCAGCGUUUUACUGCUUUAGGGGGGCCGGCCGAUAGAGGAGACCUCGGUGUGAAAUUGUUGUGCAAUCAAAGCCCUUUCCUUGAAGGUUAUUACACACUCCUUGGAGAUAUUUUUAUACAUCAGGUUUUUUCUCUCGCUUCACAGCUCUGGUCGAGGCCAACAGGGGGAAGAUGACAACGGGCUGGUUUUGCCGAGUCAAAGCAUUAAGGGCUGGAGCAAGAGAAAUAGCCUUGACACUGCAGGCUCGUCGAAGCACCACGCUGCGCCACCUAAAUGCCAGCACAAUAAGCAAAGAGACAGGCGACGUUUCUCAUCACAGCAGGGGGGCUCGUUGGGGAGCGCCAUCUUGUUUGGCACUUGUCGGAGAAGGGGAGAUGCGGUGUCGGGGAAGAGCCUCACAGCAGUGGGACAAAGCUUUCAUUAAGGCUCAAAUUGAGGGAGAUCACCAGAAGCUCACCACGUCUGGGGAGCUGUUUAACUCAGGUAACGCAACGGGGAAAAACGAAUGGGCCAAUUGAAAGCUCAUUACGCCGCCGAAAUGUGCACGAGACGGUGAACGCCGUUAGAGGCAAACCGGAGUCUCGGGCUUGACAACGCUGAAAUGGUUCUUUUGAAAAGGGUAAAAAAGAAAAGAAAGAGUGCCGCUUUAGUGUCUUGUUUUUGUGUGAUCUUACACUUGUGUUUGAAGGGAAAUGGUUUCAGUUUGGGGACCCGCUUAAUCUGAUUUUAACAAUUUACCACGGGGACCCCUCAUCUGAGCAAUUACCCGUGCCAUACUCUCCCAGCGAGGGGCGGCAUUGUGGAAGGCAAAGUACUGAACCAGGAAAUGAUUGUCAGAGGCUGCAGUUUCCAGCAACUAGGACGCCAUUUCAAUAGGCAUUUAUUAGUAGCUUGAAAUGCCUCCAGGACUUUGGCGCGUGUUUAUCACUGGCCUGCUGGAUUAGUAUUACAUUUCAGCAGGUUAUGAAGUCAGGUCGAAAGAAGAAAGCAAAAUAAACCGAAAGAAAAUCCACUCCCAGGCAGAGUGCUGCGGGAAGUGGAGAGGGGAGAGAACGGCACACGGUGAAAGAGCAGGGAGACAAUCCACUCUGCUGGGUGGACAUGGGGACAGCAUGCGUCGUGUUCCGGCCGGCGGUGCAUCACUUCACCGCUGGUGAUUGCACUCAUACAGAGGCACUCCCCUUCACAUGAGACGCAUUUAAAUCCAAUGCAGCCUGAAAGAUCUGCAGGAAUACUCGACUGGUUUCAUGUAUCACAUGAGCUCGUAUGCAUGUGCAGCUGACGAUGUGAUUGCAUAUUAUCUAACAUCUCAAACAAAAUGAGUCUCAGCCAAUCCAGAUAAUUGUGCAUAAAUGACUAAAGUGUACUUAAUCGGCUGAUGUCUGCUAAAUAACGCAUGUUUAAUGUGCAUCUGCGUUUCGAGAAGCAUCAGCCGCUGAUGGGACCCUCAUUGUAAAGAUUAAUAUCCCAAAACCCUGUAAUGCCACACCAUUUGUCCUUGGAACAUUUGCCUAACAAUGUCAUUACAAUUUCCAUUACAAGUAUUAUAAAAUGGUAAGAUGGCUUGAUUGCCAAUUAAUAGGACAGACAGCCCACCAUUUGUAUGCAUAGUAAAUAUUAAACUGGUAAAUGGAAAAGUAAAUAGAUGAUUAUAGAUUUAAUGGUUCAUCCAAACAACAUUAUUCCAGUUACUUAUAAGUAUAUGUCAUUUGUAUCAUGUCAUUUAUCAAUUGUGAUGGCUGCAUCUCUUGCCUCAUAUAGGCUGCACAAUUGUGAUUUGGUUGCAAGCUAAACAUGUCUUUGUAAAAUGUUUGAUCUAUAGGUUCUCUUCUGUGUUUCAUUUACUUUCUAUUGCUUAUUUAAUGUUGUCGUUAUUAAUAUCAUAUUAAUAAUACAUAACCUAUAUAUAUUAUUACUAUUAUAUUAUAAUUUCCAGCACAUUAAUAUUGUUUCAUGAAUUUCAAGUAUUUUUCAGAAUCUGCCUGCGACUCAUUGGAGAUUGGUUCAGCACCCCUACAUCAAUGACAGACGAGGUUUCUAAGAAGUCACCUCAUUGCUGCCGUUUGGCAUUCACCCAUCAAAAUUGAUUAGUUUUUCCCGAAAUAAACACAUCAAAGAAGUGUCCAGGCAUAAAACAUUAAAUUGAUUUAAAAUUUUAAUUGAGCGUGAUUAACUGAGAAAAAGCAAAGGUGAAUGGCGUGCUAUUUGUCAUUAAACACUGCCAUCCUGUGGCCAACUUC